rnacentral:rRNA from 1 species
CUAAGCGUACACGGUGGAUGCCCUGGCAGUCAGAGGCGAUGAAGGACGUGCUAAUCUGCGAUAAGCGUCGGUAAGGUGAUAUGAACCGUUAUAACCGGCGAUUUCCGAAUGGGGAAACCCAGUGUGUUUCGACACACUAUCAUUAACUGAAUCCAUAGGUUAAUGAGGCGAACCGGGGGAACUGAAACAUCUAAGUACCCCGAGGAAAAGAAAUCAACCGAGAUUCCCCCAGUAGCGGCGAGCGAACGGGGAGCAGCCCAGAGCCUGAAUCAGUGUGUGUGUUAGUGGAAGCGUCUGGAAAGGCGCGCGAUACAGGGUGACAGCCCCGUACACAAAAAUGCACAUGCUGUGAGCUCGAUGAGUAGGGCGGGACACGUGGUAUCCUGUCUGAAUAUGGGGGGACCAUCCUCCAAGGCUAAAUACUCCUGACUGACCGAUAGUGAACCAGUACCGUGAGGGAAAGGCGAAAAGAACCCCGGCGAGGGGAGUGAAAAAGAACCUGAAACCGUGUACGUACAAGCAGUGGGAGCACGCUUAGGCGUGUGACUGCGUACCUUUUGUAUAAUGGGUCAGCGACUUAUAUUCUGUAGCAAGGUUAACCG